CUAAUAGAAAUCGUGUUCGAGUCAAUCCCUUCAUUGAUUUAUCUGAUGAAGAUUUCAGGCAAAAGUAUAGAUUUACUAAAUCUUUUGCAAUGAAAAUAGUAGAUUUAUUAAAGGACCCAAACUCGAGACACCCGUGAAUGCCCGGUGUCUCCCGAAAUCCAAGUGGUUUGCGCAUUGCGAAGCUGGGCUCGACAUGAGAUCCAAGAUGAUACAGCCGAUUUGCAUGGAGUCUCACAGCCCUUUAUAAGUAAAAUAUGCAAAAAAAUAGCAGGAGCCAUAGCCGGAAUAUCGCAUAGAUUUAUAAAAAUGCCUGCUACAUUGGCAGAACAAGAGGAAGCAAUGCGAAAAUUCCAUAGAAUUGCAAAUUUUCCUUCAGUAAUUGGUGCAAUUGACUGUACUCACAUAAGGGUAAAAAAAUUAUGUGAAGAUGGUGGUCAAAUAUAUAUCAAUCGCAAAGGAUUUCCAUCUAUUAAUGUCCAGGUAGUCUGCGAUGCAAAUUUAAAAAUAAUAGAUAUUGUUGCUAGGUGGCAUGGCAGUGUCCAUGACUCUCGAAUUUUUAGAGAAAGUCGACUAAAGCAGAGAUUUGAGGCUGGUGCCUUCUCAGGCAUUUUGCUUGGAGAC